rnacentral:lncRNA from 1 species
AAAUUACCAUUUUUGAAAAGUCAUAAGUAUUUUUAAACAAUUAAAAAUAUGAACAAAAACAUUUAAUUGAUGAAAAAUAUCAAAAUUAAUCCAAAAAAGUAAUUUUGGUUCAGAAUAUGAAAAAGAAAAAUAUUUAAAGAUUUUUGGUGAAAGACCCAAAUUUUUUGGAUUAAAAAUGAAAUUAAUAUGAAUUAAACAAAAUAAAAAGGAUUAAAUGAAAAUUCAGAAAAUAAAAAGAAAUUAGAAAAAAACAAGGACCAUCAGA